rnacentral:rRNA from 1 species
UACGUAGGGACCAAGCGUUGUUCGGAUUUACUGGGCGUAAAGGGCGCGUAGGCGGCAAUUCAAGUCAUCUGUGAAAUCUCCGGGCUUAACCCGGAACGGUCAGAUGAUACUGCUUUGCUAGAGUGCGGAAGGGGCAAUCGGAAUUUUUGGUGUAGCGGUGAAAUGCGUAGAUAUCAAGAGGAACACCUGAGGUGAAGACGGGUUGCUGGGCCGACACUGACGCUGAUAGCGCGAAAGCCAGGGAGCAAACGGG